CGGGGGGUGCAAGCGUUGUUCGGAAUUAUUGGGCGUAAAGCGCGUGUAGGCGGUCUGAUUAGUCUGAUGUGAAAGCCCUGGGCUCAACCCAGGAAGUGCAUUGGAUACUGUCAGACUUGAAUACGGGAGAGGGUAGUGGAAUUCCUAGUGUAGGAGUGAAAUCCGUAGAUAUUAGGAGGAACACCGGUGGCGAAGGCGGCUACCUGGACCGAUAUUGACGCUGAGACGCGAAAGCGUGGGUAGCAAACAGGAUUAGAUACCCUGGUAGUCCACGCCGUAAACGAUGAGUACUAGGUGUUGCGGGUAUUGACCCCUGCAGUGCCGCAGCUAACGCAUUAAGCAUCCCGCCUGGGGAGUACGGCCGCAAGGCUA
rnacentral:rRNA from 1 species